GACAGAGGGUGCAAACGUUGCUCGGAAUUACUGGGCGUAAAGCGCGUGUAGGUGGACCAGCAAGUCAGGCGUGAAAUCCCUGGGCUCAACCUAGGAACUGCACCUGAAACUGCUGGUCUUGAGUGGUGGAGAGGAAAGUAGAAUUCCUGGUGUAGAGGUGAAAUUCGUAGAUAUCAGGAGGAACACCGGUGGCGAAGGCGGCUUUCUGGACACUUACUGACACUGAGACGACGAAAGCGUGGGGAGCAAACAGG
rnacentral:rRNA from 1 species